GGAGGGUGCAAGCGUUGUUCGGAAUUAUUGGGCGUAAAGAGCGUGCAGGCGGUUCGGUAAGUCAGAUGUGAAAGCCCUGGGCUCAACCCAGGAAGUGCAUUUGAAACUACCAGACUUGAGUACGGGAGAGGAGGGGGAAUUCCCGGUGUAGAGGUGAAAUUCGUAGAUAUCGGGAGGAAUACCAGUGGCGAAGGCGCCCCUCUGGACCGAUACUGACGCUGAGACGCGAAAGCGUGGGGAGCAAACAGGAUUAGAUACCCUGGUAGUCCACGCCGUAAACGAUGAGCACUAGGUGUAGCGGGUAUUGACCCCCUGCUGUGCCGUAGCUAACGCAUUAAGUGCUCCGCCUGGGGACUACGGUCGCAAGACUA
rnacentral:rRNA from 1 species